UUGGAGGGCAAGUCUGGUGCCAGCAGCCGCGGUAAUUCCAGCUCCAAUAGCGUAUAUUAAAGUUGUUGCAGUUAAAAAGCUCGUAGUUGAAUUUCGGGAUCAAUGCGUCGGUCGUGCCUUCGGUACGUACUAGCGUCAUUGAUUCCUCCCUUCUGAAGAACCGUGAUGUCAUUAAUUUGGUGUUACGGGGAAUCAGGACUGUUACCUUGAAAAAAUUAGAGUGUUUAAAGCAGGCUAACGCUUGAAUACAUUAGCAUGGAAUAAUGAAAUAGGACGUUCGAACCUAUUUUGUUGGUUUCUAGGAUCGACGUAAUGAUUAAUAGGGAUGGUUGGGGGCAUUAGUAUUCAAUUGUCAGAGGUGAAAUUCUUGGAUUUAUUGAAGACUAACUACUGCGAAAGCAUUUGCCAAGGAUGUUUUCAUUAAUCAAGAACGAAAGUUAGGGGAUCGAAGACGAUCAGAUACCGUCGUAGUCUUAACCAUAAACUAUGCCGACUAGGGAUCGGAUGAUGUUAAUUUUUUAAUGACUCAUUCGGCACCUUACCGGGAAAAC
rnacentral:rRNA from 1 species